UACGAAGGGGGCUAGCGUUGCUCGGAAUCACUGGGCGUAAAGCGCACGUAGGCGGCUUCUUAAGUCAGGGGUGAAAUCCUGGAGCUCAACUCCAGAACUGCCCUUGAUACUGAGGAGCUCGAGUCCGGAAGAGGUGAGUGGAACUCCGAGUGUAGAGGUGAAAUUCGUAGAUAUUCGGAAGAACACCAGUGGCGAAGGCGGCUCACUGGUCCGGUACUGACGCUGAGGUGCGAAAGCGCGGGGAGCAAACAGG
rnacentral:rRNA from 1 species